GCUCUGCUCUGCCGCCAGCUAACACACUGUCACUGAUUCACUGCCAGAGAUAAACCACACACACGCACACAGACCGAGACAAACAGUGAGAUGUGGCGACAUAGACGUGAGGAUGACAACAACAAAACAACAAAAUGGCUGAUGCUGUGGCCAGGGUGGGGGCUGUUGUUAUUUCCUGUUUUGGAGCAGGGUGGCUCUCUUUUCAGAGUCAAAACACAAGGACAGCGGUGCAGAGCGGGACCGGCCGACUUAUCAGUGCACACAGGAUUAAAUACUCUUUCAGUCUUGCAGCGUUAUCUCUCUUUCAGAUGGCGUCCCAUCACCUCGGGGAAGGCAGAGAUAAGCAGAGUGUAUGGGUUGAGAUAAGAUGGGAGCAGACACCGGGGAGACUGACUGACUGUCUACCUGCCAUUCGACCUCUACAGCUCAUCCAGAAUGCAGCUGCUCGACUGGUCUUCAACCUAAAUUUACCCACAAUCCUCCGCUCCUCCGCGACCUUCACUGGUUACCGGUGUCCACCUCAAUGCAACCAGCUUUCACCGCGUUCCUAUGAGCACAACUGGAAAUGCAUGGACAUACCCAAUUUGAAGGAGUAUCAAUUGUCUGCUUCAAUACCCAAAAGAAACUCAUUUUAGAAAGUUCCGCCACACACAGGCGUGUUGCUCACAGGGUGAGACAAAGUGAUGUGUGUGUGAUAAGAGGCGGCGCCAUGGCAGUGGCAGGACACAACAAUGAACCCUCCAUACGCGGUUCACACACACACAGUGAUAAGCAUCACCUCCAGCCCUCCGCCUGGCUCGGGCCUCCUGCUCUGAACCAGUUAUUAAAGAAGCUGAAGACACACAGGACACGGCUGCAGAUGGAAGAACCAGGAACACGAUGUUGGGCAGACGAACGGGUACAGAUGGAGGAGACGGAGGUCAGAUGGUGUGGACUGGUGAACCAUUAACGACUUGAUCCUACCGGUCAACCCUUUGGGCUUAUUAAUGAAUCAUGAAUGCACAAUUAAAUUAUAUAUUGUUAUAAAAAUUAA